GCCACUGAAACAAGCAGCUCAUCCUUUUUCCCCAAGUAACUUUUUAUAGAAAUCUGUUACAUCUGAGGCCAAAACCAGGGGUCUUGGUCACUAGGGUGUCAGCUAAUUCUGAGAAGAUAACUGGCUUGGAAGAUCCCUAAUCCUACCUCCCCUCCUCAAUGCAUUUAUGCUUUGGAUUUCCUUAAGAUCCUCUCAUCCUUUGGGGCUAAAUUCUUUUUCUGGCUUUUCCUUAGGGCCUGAAGCUUGGGAACACAGGGCUUCCGCUGACCUAGGCCACUCCAGAGCUGGGAACUCCUUGGCCUCAACUGUCUCCAUGGACUGUUUAAUCCUGGAAAAAAAUCCUAAAUUCAUCUCCAUCAUCAUACUCCUAACAUGAAAACUCAGAGAAGAUUCCGUCCUUCUUUGUCUGGAAAUCCACAGUCUUUGCGAUGUAGCUCCAGGAGCUUCUGGACAGAACCCAGAGGUUGAAAGGAAAAGCUCCUCCUGCUGGAAAUCACACUAAAAGAAGGUCAGACUUCAGAGGAAGGCUAUGGUCAGACUUCAGUGAGAAGGACCUUACCAGGUACUGUUAACAACUAACACAACAGUAAAUCCAGGCCUCCCAAGUCAACAGACAUACACGACAUAAAAUCCCUGGAAGGCUGUCCUGAGACCUCAAACAGAGCAAGCAAAGGAAUUAUGCCAAAGCAGAUGACUGAAGAAAGUGUCACCUUCCUCCAAGACCUACCAGACAAGACAGAGCUGCAAAUUUCUAUGCUUUAGUCUGCAUGUGCUUUUGCCCUGUCUCUUUGUUCUUUCCUCUCAGUCAAGUUCAGAUUUAAAUUGUUGAUACGUCUUAUCUAUGAACUAUGAUAACUUCCUUAAUACUAUAUAUAUAUAUACACGUA